UACGUAGGGUGCGAGCGUUAAUCGGAAUUACUGGGCGUAAAGCGUGCGCAGGCGGUUCUAUAAGACAGAUGUGAAAUCCCCGGGCUCAACCUGGGAAUGGCAUUUGUGACUGUAGAGCUAGAGUACGGUAGAGGGAAGUGGAAUUUCCGGUGUAGCGGUGAAAAUGCGUAGAUAUCGGAAGGAACAUCAGUGGCGAAAGCGACUUCCUGGACCAGUACCGACGUCAGGCACGAAAGCGUGGGGAGCAAAC
rnacentral:rRNA from 1 species